rfam:Yersinia pestis CO92 complete genome
AUCGGUUUGUAGCACAGACCUAUUUAUGUAAGCCAUUUAAAGUAAAGAGUUCCUAGUUAAAGCGAUAUUUUUUAGACAUCACUUCUCCGACGAAUUACCUUCUUUUGUGCCCCCAUAAGUAACUCAAGCAGACCUCAAUUGCCAUGUAGUGGCACAAAAUAAUGAAGGAAAUAUAUUUAUGUCUAAUAAAAUGACUGGUUUGGUAAAAUGGUUUGAUGCUGGUAAAGGUUUUGGUUUUAUUUCUCCUGCAGAUGGCAGCAAAGAUGUAUUUGUACAUUUCUCUGCAAUCCAGGGUAAUGACUACAAAACUCUUGAUGAAGGCCAGAACGUUGAGUUCAGCAUCGAGCAAGGCCAAAAAGGCCCUUCAGCUGUAAACGUUGUAGCACUGUAAUUCACAUUACUGUUGUUAACGUUUAGCUGUAAAUAGAUUUAGAAGCCUCGUCUUUUGACGGGGUUUUUUUU